rnacentral:rRNA from 1 species
UACCGAGUUUACAACUCCCAAACCCCUGUGAACAUACCAAUUGUUGCCUCGGCGGAUCAGCCCGCUCCCGGUAAAACGGGACGGCCCGCCAGAGGACCCCUAAACUCUGUUUCUAUAUGUAACUUCUGAGUAAAACCAUAAAUAAAUCAAAACUUUCAACAACGGAUCUCUUGGUUCUGGCAUCGAUGAAGAACGCAGCAAAAUGCGAUAAGUAAUGUGAAUUGCAGAAUUCAGUGAAUCAUCGAAUCUUUGAACGCACAUUGCGCCCGCCAGUAUUCUGGCGGGCAUGCCUGUUCGAGCGUCAUUUCAACCCUCAAGCCCAGCUUGGUGUUGGGACUCGCGAGUUAAACCGCGUUCCCCAAAUUGAUUGGCGGUCACGUCGAGCUUCCAUAGCGUAGUAGUAAAACCCUCGUUACUGGUAAUCGUCGCGGCCACGCCGUUAAACCCCAACUUCUGAAUGUUGACCUCGGAUCAGGUAGGAAUACCCG